rnacentral:rRNA from 1 species
UACGUAGGGUGCAAGCGUUGUCCGGAAUUAUUGGGCGUAAAGAGCUCGUAGGCGGUUCGUCGCGUCGGCUGUGAAAACCCGAGGCUCAACCUCGGGCCUGCAGUCGAUACGGGCGGACUGGAGUUCGGCAGGGGAGACUGGAAUUCCCGGUGUAGCGGUGAAAUGUGUAGAGAUCGGGAGGAACACCGGUGGCGAAGGCGGGUCUCUGGGCAAUUCCUGACGCUGAGGCGCGAAAGCGUGGGGAGCAAACGGG